AGUUUGAUGUUAGAAUUCCCUAGUCAAAUCUGAGAAGGUGACUUAGGACAAAGGAAACAAUUAAGGUAGUUCGCCACUUUACUAAGAUGAAGUAGGUGAAAGAAUGUUGUUAGGUCCUGAACUGGUCCAACAGAUGAUCGAAAAAGUCGACCAUAUCAAGCAAAGAAUCAAAGAAACUCAAGAUAGACAAAAGUCUUACGCCGAUAAACGCCAAUCGGAAUUAGAAUUUAAUGUUGGGAAUCGAAUUUUCCUCAAAGUCUCUUCCUCAAAGGGAGUUAUACGUUUCGGGAAAUAGGGGCAAGUUACGACCCCGUUAUAUAGGACCUUUUGAGAUCCUAGAUAAGUUAGGCCUUUGUAGCCUAUAAGUUGGCUCUGCCACCAAGCAUUGUGGAUGUAUACAAUACGUAUAGCACCUCGCAAUUAAGAAAGCAUGUGAUUAAGCAAGAUAAAGUAGUCCUAGCCAGGACCUAAGUUGUGAUGAGAAAUCAGUCCAGAUACUUGAUCGCAAGAUUCAAGUUCUACGAGGCAAUAAUAUUGUUCUCGUCAUGUAGUGGAACCAUCACAGGAUGGAAAAGGCCACAAAAAGAGAUGAAUGAAACGAAUGACUAGUAUCACAAGAUAGAAUACCAGAUAUGCAAUUCUGAGGACGGAAUUUUUAUAAGGAGGGAGGAAUGUAAUACCCCGUUUUCCUGAGUUAAAUUUAGAAUUUAUUUUGAACUUAAGAUUUAAGAUGAUUCACGCCGGAUUGAGAAAAAGAAUUUAUUUUAAUUCCAACAAAAAUGAUUUACAAAAGCAUUUGUAAAUUUAGUAAUUAAAUUAUAUGCAUUGCAUAUUUAUUUAAUUUAGCAUUCAAGCAUUUUUUUUACGAGCUUUUAUUUAAGCAAACACUAAACGAUUAUUACAGUUUUCAUAGUACAACCUGGAAGACUUUUUAUUUUAUUUUAUCUUAUUUUAUUUUAUUCCUACACCUACUCCCUCACCUAACAUAUACCACCUACCUCCCUCAAAAUAAGCUGUCACCUACUACCACCACUUUAAAGCAACCCCAAUUAAACUUUAAGCCAUACGCCUAUGAACAUAGGCAAUCAAAUGCUCCAUAACUCCUCUGCAUCCAUAAGUAUACCAUAUCCAAGCUCUCCUUUACUCAAUUCAUACAAAUUAUUUGCUGUGCCACGUUGAAACAGAAAGCAAUUCAUUCUCCUCACAAAUCAAGCAAUCGAACCAUUUCAGAUUUCAACGGCUCAACUCAAAGCCCUUCCUCAAACUAGUAGAACACUCAGGCAUAACAUCAAGAAAAAGCUCAGCCUUUCCUAUCAAGGCUUCGAGCAUCAGAAGGAUUAGCACUGCUAUUCCGAUUCAGAGAUAAGGUUAAACGACAGGCUUUGCCUAUACAGGUUGAGCAGUUGAUGGAAUGGAAUGAUGUUGAGCGGGUGUUCCUUUGACAUUUCAAGAAAUGUAACCUUGAGUAUACAUCUUCAUAUGUAUAUCUCACACGUUUUCCGCUGCAAAACACUUUGAUUAGGAUAACUCCAUGUUAUGAAGUUGUUACACGUGUUAUUGGGUAACCCACCUUAAUCAGUUCUCUUUUAUGUGUAUGUUUUACAAGUAUCCAAAUGAUCAUAUAUGAUCCUAGCUUUUUAUCUAUAAGUGAUAUUUUCAUAUACUUUAAUGUUAAGUAAUUGUCCAUUUCCAUUUCUUAUUGUUCACCCCAAGUCAUAACCCCUGUUAACCCGUCAUUGGGAUAGUGGGCUGU